AAUCACAGUCACCUGAUGGU
rnacentral:miRNA from 1 species